UACAGGGGGGGCAAGCGUUGUUCGGAAUUACUGGGCGUAAAGGGCUCGUAGGUGGCCAACUAAGUCAGACGUGAAAUCCCUCAGCUUAACUGGGGAACUACGUCUGAUACUGGAUGGCUUGAGUUUGGGAGAGGGAUGCGGAAUUCCAGGUGUAGCAGUGAAAUGCGUAGAGAUGUGGAGGAACACCGAUGGCGAAGGCAGCCCCCUGGGUCAAGAUUGACGCUCAUGCACGAAAGCGUGGGGAGCAAACAGG
rnacentral:rRNA from 1 species